UACGUAGGGUGCAAGCGUUAAUCGGAAUUACUGGGCGUAAAGCGUGCGCAGGCGGUUUUGUAAGUUUGUCGUGAAAGCCCCGGGCUCAACCUGGGAAUGGCGAUGAAGACUGCAAGGCUUGAAUCUGGCAGAGGGGGGUAGAAUUCCACGUGUAGCAGUGAAAUGCGUAGAGAUGUGGAGGAACACCGAUGGCGAAGGCAGCCCCCUGGGUCAAGAUUGACGCUCAUGCACGAAAGCAUGGGGAGCGAACAGG
rnacentral:rRNA from 1 species